rnacentral:misc_RNA from 1 species
CAUUAUCAAGUUACAGCGGAGGCAUCCUCGGGUGUCCUCCUGUCUGCAACCCUUGUCUUUUGCGUACUGUAUGUUUCCUCGGUGGGCUCGCCCGCCGAUAGGACACUUAUAAACCCUUUGUAAUUGCAAUCAGCGUCAGAAAAACUUAUAAUAGUUACAACUUUCAACAACGGAUCUCUUGGUUCUGGCAUCGAUGAAGAACGCAGCGAAAUGCGAAAAGUAGUGUGAAUUGCAGAAUUCAGUGAAUCAUCGAAUCUUUGAACGCACAUUGCGCCCCUUGGUAUUCCAUGGGGCAUGCCUGUUCGAGCGUCAUUUGUACCCUCAAGCUCUGCUUGGUGUUGGGUGUUUGUCCCGCCGUUGCGCGUGGACUCGCCUCAAAGCAAUUGGCAGCCGGCAUAAGCCUGGGAGCGCAGCACAAUUGUUGCUUCCAUUCUUAAAUGUCGAGCGUCCAGCAAGCCUUUUAUUCUUGCGUUUGACCUCGGAUCAGGUAGGGAUACCCGCUGAACUUAAGCAUAUCAAUAAGCGGAGGAAAAGAAACCAACAGGGAUUGCCCUAGUAACGGCGAGUGAAGCGGCAUCAGCUCAAAUUUGAAAUCUGGCUCUUUCAGAGUCCGAGUUGUAAUUUGCAGAGGGCGCUUUGGCGUUGGCAGCGGUCCAAGUUCCUUGGAACAGGACGUCACAGAGGGUGAGAAUCCCGUACGUGGUCGCUGGCCUUCACCGUGUAAAGCCCCUUCGACGAGUCGAGUUGUUUGAGAAUGCAGCUCUAAAUGGGAGGUAAAUUUCUUCUAAAGCUAAAUACUGGCCAGAGACCGAUAGCGCACAAGUAGAGUGAUCGAAAGAUGAAUAGCACUUUGGAAAGAGAGUCAAAUAGCACGUGAAAUUGUUGAAAGG